CGGUGCCGGACCGCCGCGGGGGCCGCGCUGGCUCCGUCCCUGUCGCUGUCGCCGUCGCCGUCGCCGUCCCUGUCCAGCCCCUCCCUGGGCAGCGCCGGAGCCACCUCCCCCCCCAGCAGGUCCGUGGGGGUUGAGGUGCACCCGGGCCCCGCCGCAGCUCCCGCAGCCUCCCUGCCCAGCGGAUCCCCCGGGCCCUCCCUGCCCCUGGAGCUGGAGGAGCUGCCGGAGACCGAGAUCAGCUUUUGAAUGGGCGCCAGUGGAAUCCCAGCCAAGCCUCGGAAUUCCGGAAUUCCUGCUUUUCCUAGCGCUCCUGGAAAAUCGGGAAUGGCCCGAAAAAAAUCGGGA